rnacentral:ncRNA from 1 species
UUCUGCUUGCCGCCGGGUAAGCUAUAAGGCAUUGGUUUCGUAUCGUUAGGCCGUUGGAGAUACGAAAGCAAUGCCUUAUGUAUU